rnacentral:rRNA from 1 species
GAUGAACGCUGGCGGCGUGCUUAACACAUGCAAGUCGAACGAAGCAUUUAAGACAGAUUACUUCGGUUUGAAGUCUUUUAUGACUGAGUGGCGGACGGGUGAGUAACGCGUGGGUAACCUGCCUCAUACAGGGGGAUAGCAGCUGGAAACGGCUGGUAAUACCGCAUAAGCGCACAGUACCACAUGGUACAGUGUGAAAAACUCCGGUGGUAUGAGAUGGACCCGCGUCUGAUUAGCUUGUUGGCGGGGUAACGGCCCACCAAGGCGACGAUUAGUAGCCGACCUGAGAGGGUGACCGGCCACAUUGGGACUGAGACACGGCCCAGACUCCUACGGGAGGCAGCAGUGGGGAAUAUUGCACAAUGGAGGAAACUCUGAUGCAGCGACGCCGCGUGAGUGAAGAAGUAGUUCGCUAUGUAAAGCUCUAUCAGCAGGGAAGAUAGUGACGGUACCUGACGAAGAAGCGCCGGCUAAAUACGUG